CCGGAGAAUGUUAUCACGGGAGACACACGGCGGGUGCUAACGUCCGUCGUGAAGAGGGAAACAACCCAGACCGCCAGCUAAGGUCCCAAAGUCAUGGUUAAGUGGGAAACGAUGUGGGAAGGCCCAGACAGCCAGGAUGUUGGCUUAGAAGCAGCCAUCAUUUAAAGAAAGCGUAAUAGCUCACUGGUCGAGUCGGCCUGCGCGGAAGAUGUAACGGGGCUAAACCAUGCACCGAAGCUGCGGCAGCGAACGUAUCACUUAAAGCGAUUCAGCGGGUUACGAUUGACGGAGCGAAGCGACGUCAAAGCGUAUACAAAGUCGAGUCGGUUUAAGGAUACGUUCGUUGGGUAGGGGAGCGUUCUGUAAGCCUGUGAAGGUGKSYYGUGAGGGWUGCUGGAGGUAUCAGAAGUGCGAAUGCUGACAUAAGUAACGAUAAAGCGGGUGAAAAGCCCGCUCGCCGGAAGACCAAGGGUUCCUGUCCAACGUUAAUCGGGGCAGGGUGAGUCGACCCCUAAGGCGAGGCCGAAAGGCGUAGUCGAUGGGAAACGGGUUAAUAUUCCCGUACUUGGUGUUACUGCGAAGGGGGGACGGAGAAGGCUAUGUUGGCCGGGCGACGGUUGU
rnacentral:rRNA from 1 species